rnacentral:rRNA from 1 species
UACGAGGGGGGCAAGCGUUGUUCGGAAUUAUUGGGCGUAAAGGGCGCGUAGGCGGUGCGGUAAGUCACCUGUGAAACCUCUAGGCUCAACCUAGAGCCUGCAGGCGAAACUGCCGUGCUUGAGGGUGGGAGAGGUGCGUGGAAUUCCCGGUGUAGAGGUGAAAUUCGUAGAUAUCGGGAGGAACACCGGUGGCGAAGGCGGCGACCUGGGUCGAUACUGACGCUGAUGCGCGAAAGCGUGGGGAGCAAACAGG